rnacentral:rRNA from 1 species
GAGGRAUACCAGAAGUAGGUAGCUCAACCGCAAGGAAAGCGCUYACCACGGUAUGUUUCAUGACUGRGGUGAAGUCGUAACAAGGUAGCCGUAGGUGAACCUGCAGAAGGAUCA